UUUCCGUAGGUGAACCUGCGGAGGGAUCAUUACCAAGCACUAUCCAAUAUCAACACUUUUUAUUAACUAUUGUACUCUUUUUGGUUGGUUGUGGUAAUUGUUCUAACAGUCGUGGAGGAAUUCAGUAAAGACUAUAUUAAACACCCCUGUUUAAAAAUAAAUUAUAAACUGAAACUUUUAAGUUAUAUGUCUUUACUUACUAUAACGCUAGAUUAUGAAUUAUAACACAACUUUUAACAAUGGAUAUCUAGGUUCUGGCAUCGAUUAAGAAC
rnacentral:misc_RNA from 1 species